GUCCCAGCCCAUCAGUGACUGAAGCUGGCUUAGAUGACACCUGGGGGCCAGGCCCUUGUUUUACAGGCCAGGAAACUGAGGCUGGGGCCACACGACCGCAGCGCUCCUUGCGGACUUAUCUGCGACCUCACAGCAACCCGGUGGUGGUGGGAAAGCUCCUCUGGAGCAGGCAGAUAAGGAAACAGAGGCUCAGAGGAGUCCAGAGCCGGCUCAAGGUCACGCACCCGGUGAAGCCAGGGCUGGUGGCGCCUGGGCUUCCUGGUGCAAGGCACUUUCUGCUCUUCCCAUCCUGGUCUGGCAGGAACAGCCACUAAGCCAAGAGGAUCGGAGGCCCAGAGAGGCAGGGCAUAUACAAAGGCACAGUCGAGACUCUCCGGUGGAUUAUAUAACCCCUCCGAGGGGCUGUUCCCGGGGGGAACUGAGGCAGCCAAGGUGGCCCGGGGACCGCACAGCCAGUCUGGCCCACCCACCAGCCGGCUUCGCUCUUUCCAAAGAGGGCAGGAGGCCAGGCAGGGUGCUCCCAGCCCUCUGGUGAAGCUGGGCUUUGUCUGUAGGCAGAGUACACAGGCAAGCCCGGCUCAGACCUCCUGAUCUACAUACCAGU
rnacentral:lncRNA from 1 species